rfam:Brachypodium distachyon strain Bd21 chromosome 1, whole genome shotgun sequence.
GUUGUACUCCCUCCAUCCCAUAUUAAGUGACUCAAAUUUGAUCAAAUAUGAAUGUAACUAUGCCUAAAAAAUGUCUAGACACAUAUAAUAGAAAGUCACUUAAUAUGGGACGGAGGGAGUAGGUU